rnacentral:rRNA from 1 species
GCAUAUCAAUAAGCGGAGGAAAAGAAACCAACCGGGAUUGCCUCAGUAACGGCGAGUGAAGCGGCAAAAGCUCAAAUUUGAAAUCUGCGUAAGCCGAGUUGUAAUUUGAAGAUGGCUACUUUGGUAAUGGCUCUUGUCUAUGUUCCUUGGAACAGGACGUCACAGAGGGUGAGAAUCCCGUGCGAUGAGAUGUCCAUUACCGUGUAAAGUGCUUUCGAAGAGUCGAGUUGUUUGGGAAUGCAGCUCUAAGUGGGUGGUAAAUUCCAUCUAAAGCUAAAUAUUGGCGAGAGACCGAUAGCGAACAAGUACAGUGAUGGAAAGAUGAAAAGAACUUUGAAAAGAGAGUGAAAAAGUACGUGAAAUUGUUGAAAGGGAAGGGCUUGAGAUCAGACUUGGUAUUUUGUAUGGCUUGCUUUCGGGCGGGUCCUCUGCAGUUUACUGGGCCAGCAUCGGUUUGGGUGGCAGGAUAAUAGCAUAGGAAUGUGGCUCUACUUCGGUGGAGUGUUAUAGCCUUUGUUGAUACUGCCUGCCUAGACCGAGGACUGCGUCUUUGACUAGGAUGCG